AUUGAACGCUGGCGGCAGGCUUAACACAUGCAAGUCGAGCGGAGAGAGGUAGCUUGCUACCGAUCUUAGCGGCGGACGGGUGAGUAAUGCUUAGGAAUCUGCCUAUUAGUGGGGGACAACAUUUCGAAAGGAAUGCUAAUACCGCAUACGUCCUACGGGAGAAAGCAGGGGAUCUUCGGACCUUGCGCUAAUAGAUGAGCCUAAGUCGGAUUAGCUAGUUGGUGGGGUAAAGGCCUACCAAGGCGACGAUCUGUAGCGGGUCUGAGAGGAUGAUCCGCCACACUGGGACUGAGACACGGCCCAGACUCCUACGGGAGGCAGCAGUGGGGAAUAUUGGACAAUGGGCGGAAGCCUGAUCCAGCCAUGCCGCGUGUGUGAAGAAGGCCUUAUGGUUGUAAAGCACUUUAAGCGAGGAGGAGGCUACUUUAGUUAAUACUCUUGGAUAGUGGACGUUACUCGCAGAAUAAGCACCGGCUAACUCUGUGCCAGCCGCCGCCGUAAAAC
rnacentral:rRNA from 1 species